rnacentral:rRNA from 1 species
UACGGGGGGGGCAAGCGUUGUCCGGAAUCAUUGGGCGUAAAGAGCGUGUAGGCGGCUCGGUAAGUCCGCUGUGAAAGUCCAGGGCUCAACCCUGGAAUGCCGGUGGAAACUGUCGAGCUAGAGUCCGGAAGAGGCGAGUGGAAUUCCUGGUGUAGCGGUGAAAUGCGCAGAUAUCGGGAAGAACACCCGUGGCGAAGGCGGCACUCUGGGACGGUACUGACGCUGAGACGCGAAAGCGUGGGGAGCGAACAGG